AACGAACGCUGGCGGCAGGCCUAACACAUGCAAGUCGAACGCCCGUAGCAAUACGGGAGUGGCGGACGGGUGAGUAAGGUGUGGGAACGUGCCCUGAGGUACGGAAUAACUGGGGGAAAAUGUAGCUAAUACCGUAUGAGACCCGCAAGGGGGGAAGAUUUAUCGCCUUAGGAGCGGCCCGCGUCGGAUUAGCUAGUGGGUUGGGUAACGGCUUACCAAAGCUUCGAUCCGUAGCUGGUCUGAGAGGACGACCAGCCACACUGGGACUGAGACACGGCCCAGACUCCUACGGGAGGCAGCAGUGGGGAAUCUUGCGCAAUGGGGGCAACCCUGACGCAGCCAUGCCGCGUGAAUGAUGAAGGCCUUAGGGUUGUAAAGUUCUUUUGCCCGUGACGAUGAUGACGGUAACGGGAGAAUAAGCUCCGGCUAACUUCGUGCCAGCCGCCGCGGUAAGAC
rnacentral:rRNA from 1 species